GCGCGACUUCCCUGGCCCUCCCCCUGCGGACCAGUGAACCUCGCCCGAGGGCUCAAUAAAGAAGAUUUUUGCCCUCUUUUUCUCACCUCUCAGCCUUAUUGAUCCAUGGUGCCCUUCCAUUGCCUUUCAUUGGUGCCGAAACCCGGGAGGGGACACCUCCUAAGCCCCCCCAGAGGCUCAGGGGGACUCCCCUCCUGGUCGGAUCAGUCCUCUCCCUCAGUCAGGUCAGGCUUCUCCUCCACGGCCAUCUGUCCAUUUCGUCCGGUUACUUGCUGCCAGGUCGCAGUUGCUGCAGCUACUCCAGUCCAAUUCGGCCGACGCUAGUCAAACAGGUGACAACCACACUUGGCGUUAACUGGAAGCUACACACUCCAUACCAUCCGCAGUCUUCUGGAAAAGUGGAAUGCGCCAACGGCCUUGUCAAACAACACCUAAUCAAAUUGGCUCUCGAGAAGCGCCAAUCGUGGAUCAACUGAGAUGCAAAACCCAUGUUCACAUCAUGAGUGAGUCUUCUAACUCGGACAAUGCAAUCAACAAAUUCUAAGACCAAAUUCCGGUGGCACUGGCUCCAAAGCUCCUGAGUGUGGAAGGAGGUGAACAGGGAAAAGCAGAGAGGACAAAAGUCACAUCCCCUCCCCACAGACCCAUACUGGGGAAGGGUGGAAGAUUUAGCUGCGAGUCAAGUUCAGAAUUUUGAUUAACAUCUUGGCAUGCACAUUCGAAUUUCAGAAUCAAGACUGUUGGCCAUAAAAAAUGACUAUAGCCUUGUGUAUUACCUGAACUGAGCAGUAAAAAAAAAGUCAUGGUCCUUCUGGGGCUUUUAUUCUGAGACAGGAACCCUGAACAGGCAGGAGAAAGGGAAUGUUGACAGAGAAACAAAGACAGUUGGCGACACACGCUGACCGCCAUGCGGACGUCCAUCAAACCCAGCACUGGCCCUGGGUACGUGCGCCUUUGCUAUUACCCCAAUACAUUUUCUUCUGCAGAGCAAGCAACAGAACACAUGCAGACCUUAAUAAAUACCACUGGGUAAUGUGACAAUGGCCAAACUCUCCUCACGGGGGAGAGAGUGUCCCCCAGUUUUGCUCCCUUUUAAUUUCCAGGGUUCAUAAGUAGCUCUAAAGCUUUGCUCUACAAGGUUGAUACAUACGAUAUUAAUGUUUCCCCUAAGCAGUAUAACAUAAAUAUAUUUGCUAUCUUGA
rnacentral:lncRNA from 1 species